GUAGAUCUGAUGUUUAUUCUAUCUGUAGAAUAUCGCUGGAUCCAGAUUGGACAAGUUGGGAAUUCACAAGACGCCAACAUUCCAUUGCUAUCUAAAAGGGGAAAGGGUAGAUGAGGUUUCCAAUGCUUCUAUCAAACACUUGAAAAUGUCUACAAUCCAUCCUGGAUGAAGAAAAGGAGAAGACAAGGUAAGAAAGAUGAGAAUAAUGGAGGAUUUGUUGCGGUACUUCCAAGUGUGUUUCCUGAAACAUCGUUUCUUGAGAUGAGGGCCGAACUUGGACAAGUAAUUUUUUAUUUUGAUGAUGAGGAAAAGAUGACAGAUGAUGAGGAUAAGAUGCCAGAUGAUGAGGACAAGAGGGCAAAGGACAAGAUGUUGUGGUUUGCGAAAGGGUUGUUUUCAAGUAAAAAGAAGAGAGAGAUGUUUUGUAAAUUGAAAGAUCCUGAAGCCAAGCGCGAAUGGAUUGAGAGUGAAAUGGCUAAGGAAUGAACUGGAAGUACUUGUAUCAUGGUACAUGUUACGUUGUUUGACAGUCUCUAUGGUUUAGACUUGUGUGGUGCUGGAUUAAGAUAUGAUUUUUUUUUUUUUGC